rnacentral:rRNA from 1 species
CACCGGUUCCUGUACAAUCACCGAAGUUAAGCAACGUCAAGCCUGGUCAGUACCUAAAUGGGUGACUGCUUGGGAAUGUUAGGUGCUGCAAA